GCUGCUGGAAUAACUAGACCAACAUCCGAGAUAGGGAUCUCAGCAGCUGAAGAAGCACUUGAGCAGCUCAAAAACAAAUUGAAUGCACUGGAAAGAGAACUACAAGAUGCCAAAUUUAAGAAUAAAAUGACUAAUGAACGAAUCCGAUUGUCUGAGAUCAUGCCACAAUCUUCCCCUGUAAGAAUAGAUGAAAAUGGACAGACUUCAAACAGAGGAUCUUCCCCUCUAACAGUCUUUGAUCGGUGAAGCUUCUUUACCAACUUAAAGAGGCAAAGUUUAUCUGUACAUUGUGUUAGUUUUUUGCUAGCAGUUUGUUCAUAUGUUCUUUUGUAUAUGUAUACAGUUCUCCACAAAAGUUGAAGAUUAUGGAAAUUCAUAAAUAGUGAAUCCAUGAUUUUUGUAAUAUAUUCCUUUGAAAGUAUUUAGGUAAUAUAUGUAAUUCAUUUAUUUGUUAAUCUCCAAGUGUAAACUUCUACAAUGGCAUUUUGGUUUAUGUUGUACAAUCACAGUGCUGU